rnacentral:rRNA from 1 species
UACGGAGGAGGCAAGCGUUAUCCGGAAUUAUUGGGCGUAAAGCGUCCGUAGGUGGCAAUUCAAGUCCAUUGUCAAAGCGUGGGGCUUAACUCCAUAAGGGCAGUGGAAACUGAAUAGCUAGAGUGCGACAGGGGCAAGGGGAAUUCCUAGUGUAGCGGUGAAAUGCGUAGAGAUUAGGAAGAACACCGGUGGCGAAAGCGCCUUGCUGGGUCUGCACUGACACUGAUGGACGAAAGCUAGGGGAGCGAAAGGG